ACUCUGCCCAAUGAAUUUUUUAAUGGCUGCAGUAUUUUGACUGUACUAAGGUAGCAUAAUAAUUUGUCUUUUAAAUGAAGACUUGAAUGAAGGAGGUGAUGAAAUAUAUACUUUUUUUUUUUAAAAGGUUGAAUUUUAUUUUUAAAUUAAAAAGUUUAAAUAUUAUUAAGGGACGAGAAGACCCUAUAGAAUUUUACAAUUUUAAAUAUUGUUUAUUUGGGAGGAAGGAUAAAAUUAUAAACUUUAUUAGGAUUUUACAUAAAUAAAUGGAUUUUUAGAUUUUUAUUAAAGUAUUAGAGAAAAUUACCUUAGGGAUAACAGCGUAAUAAUUUUUUAUAGUUCUUAUUGAAAAAAUUGUUUGCGACCUCGAUGUUGAAUUAAGAUAAAAUUUUAAAGUAGAAGUUAAAUAUUUAAGUCUGUUCGACUUUUAAAAUCUUACAUGAUUUGAGUUCAAAU
rnacentral:rRNA from 1 species